ensembl:lincRNA
AUGCUUACCAGGCACCUCGAAUGGAACAGUUCUGUACAAGGUAGACCUACCAUGGUGAACAAACGAAACAGUCCCCACCGUCUUUGUUCUGGAAGCUCAGUAAAGGAGCAUGGAAGGCAUGAAAGGAAGUCCAUCACAGAUGUUCCUAGGUGGGCUGCUUUCCUAGGAGUACUCCUCCCACCUAGGUCAGACCCAGGAACCUUCCACUGUUGGCUCCAUCUUCCCCUGGAGCCCCAGGGACCAUCUGUCCCCACCAGCUGACCGGAAAAGACUGGGAGCAAGGGAAGGACCUCACCAGUUACUCGAGGGGCCAUACCUGGGAGCCAAGUGGGCCACCUCCCCCACAUUGUACUGACCAGAACUAGUUCCACAACCCUUCAUCAGUGCAAAGGAGCAAGCACAAAGCUCUUUUUGGGACUUCGGAAGACAAUAAAAGGCUGGUCAGCACUGGAAUUAUCACUGCCACAGAGUGAUUUUUUAUUUUCACCCAUGAAGGGGCAAACUCAUCUCUAGACACAAUCUCUGAACUACUUGGAUGGUAAAACACUUUAGGUCCUUACACUUCUAGGUGUAGACUUAUACAGAAAUUAUGUAUAUGCCCUUAAGCCAACAUAUGUAUGAGAUAUUUGAUUUGCUUGAUUUCUUUGUGUGUGUGUAUGUGUGUGUUUUAAGUAAAGAAAUAUAUACUAAGAUAUGUUUCAUUAUUUUCUGCUUCCACCCCAUUGAACUGGCUUGACACCCUCUAGCAUGAUUAUGCCCCGCUCUAGAGACCCAUGCCUGGGAGCUCUUAGAGCUGCCCAGAGGGGAGGCAGUUGGCUGGGCUGGAAGCAAGGGCUCCUGGGGCACAGUGAUUUCCCAGGGAUGUCCCAGCAUGGUGGGCAGAAGUGGGCAGAGAGCAGGGAGGGGAGUGCUCUGAGCCAUCCUGUAUCUCUCUCCGUGGAGGACUCCAUCCUCUUCCUCCCUCCCUCUGCCCAGAUCUCUGACUUAGGUGCCAGUGUGAUAUGAGAACCCUCCUAUUAGGUGGAAGUAACUGACCCCCUAAGCCCACUCUGACUCUAAGUUUCGCCAGUUCCAUGAACACCUGGGGAGGAGCAGCAGCAAGGUGAGAGGUCGGAGGGCUGCCUUGAUUCACUGCUUCACUGAUGUGCCAAUAUCAGAGGGGAAGAGGCAGGAUAAUACUGUUUGAAAUCUGAGUUAGCUGUUAAUAUAUGGCCUGUGGGGAUAAGCUGGUAUGAAAUUCAGAAAGACAAAUGGGAGAGUGUAAAGGAAUAAUGAUAGUGAUAACUAGCUCUUAUGGAGUGCUUACCGUACGCCAAGCCUGUUUCAAAUACUUCAUCUCCAUUAAUACACUACAGUCCUUUGAAACCGAUAUUAUUAUUAACUCUGCUCAUUUGAUUGAAUUCAAUCAACCAAAUUGAAUUUGGAGGAGGAAACUGAGGCACAGAUAGGUUUAACUGAAGGAUGUAGGGGUUUACUAAAGCCCAGCGUGGCCCACUGACCAACAGCAUUGGCCUCCCCUAGGAGCUUACUAGAAAUGCAGAACCUGGGCCCCACCCAGGACCAUUGAAUCAGAGCUCCCCGGUUUAGUAAGACCCAGCCCCUAGGGGAUAGAGACCAUUAGAGCCUGAGAAAGACUGAAUUAGUGAGGCAACAAGGUCUUAUUCAGCCCACACCAUCAGUGGCCUUUUGUUUCAAGAAAUUGUUGCUUCUCCAGUGCUGAAGUUAGGCAGGAACCUGCCAAGCUAAAUUCUUCCUCUCUGUGAUCUAGAAGUGAUAUCUGCCAUUCCCAAAUGCCAAGUGUUAGGUUACGAUGGCCAACAUUUGGAAUGAAAAAAAAAAUAUCAUUAUUUCCCAAAAGAAAGAGCUCAGGAAAUUGGUAUAUACAAAGAUAUGAUUGGUUCCUACUUCUCUUUCCCAUGGCUCUAAAACAACAGUGGUGAAGAAUGAGACUCCGAAAUGAGUUGACCUCAUUCAACUUCAUAGCCCGCAUUGCUGUGUAGUCAGACAAGUCAUUAGUCUGCCUUAGCCUCAUUGUCUUUCUGGGCAAGAUGCAGAUGCAUGUAACAUAGGAACAGGCUGUACAGCUGUCAAGAGGAUUAAAUAAAAUAAUCCAUGUGAAACAGUACUGUGAACACAUAGUUGAUACUCAGUAGAGU